GACGUAGGGCGCAAGCGUUGUCCGGAUUUAUUGGGCGUAAAGAGCUCGUAGGCGGCUUGUUGCGUCGACCGUGAAAACCCGUGGCUCAACUGCGGGCUUGCGGUCGAUACGGGCGGGCUAGAGUUCGGUAGGGGAGACUGGAAUUCCUGGUGUAGCGGUGAAAUGCGCAGAUAUCAGGAGGAACACCGGUGGCGAAGGCGGGUCUCUGGGCCGGUACUGACGCUGAGACGCGAAAGCGUGGGGAGCGAACAGG
rnacentral:rRNA from 1 species